rnacentral:rRNA from 1 species
UGCUCCUGAUGUUAGCGGCGGACGGGUGAGUAACACGUGGGUAACCUGCCUGUAAGACUGGGAUAACUCCGGGAAACCGGGGCUAAUACCGGAUGGUUGUUUGAACCGCAUGGUUCAAACAUAAAAGGUGGCUUCGGCUACCACUUACAGAUGGACCCGCGGCGCAUUAGCUAGUUGGUGAGGUAACGGCUCACCAAGGCAACGAUGCGUAGCCGACCUGAGAGGGUGAUCGGCCACACUGGGACUGAGACACGGCCCAGACUCCUACGGGAGGCAGCAGUAGGGAAUCUUCCGCAAUGGACGAAAGUCUGACGGAGCAACGCCGCGUGAGUGAUGAAGGUUUUCGGAUCGUAAAGCUCUGUUGUUAGGGAAGAACAAGUACCGUUCGAAUAGGGCGGUACCUUGACGGUACCUAACCAGAAAGCCACGGCUAACUACGUGCCAGCAGCCGCGGUAAUACGUAGGA